rnacentral:lncRNA from 1 species
CAAUGUCAGAAUUCAGCGUCUAUAAAGAAACUCCUCGGAGUAAAAUAUUUUCAAUAAUUCGCUAUCGAAACCAUCCUCAGCUGUUCGGGCUGGAAUACACAAGCGGUCGGCUGAGAAAUUACUCGUCUCCUGACAGGGAAACAUUAUUGGCUGGUUUGCUAGACGGUGUUAGAGCCAGUUGAAACAGAGAUGUUUGCGUAAAAACGACCCCAACGAAGAGAAGUACUGUACGCUUAUUCAUAGAUGAUUGAGCGAAAAUUAUGGUCAAAAUUUUCCUGAUGAAAUCUCGUACUGCUAUGAUUACCCUAAAUACGAUCCCUCAUUUCAUACUCCUGCUGACGUAUGUGAUCUCAUAUAACACACCAACAAUUACACUUCUCGUCAGGUUAUCGUUGGGGUCCAUUGUAUAAUGUUGUUGACGAAGAAGUAG